UACGUAGGGUGCAAGCGUUGUCCGGAAUCAUUGGGCGUAAAGCGCGCGUAGGUGGCUAUGUAAGUCCGUUGUGAAAGUCAAAGGCUCAACCUUUGAAAGCCGAUGGAUACUGCAUAGCUAGAGUACGGAAGAGGCGAGUGGAAUUCCUGGUGUAGCGGUGGAAUGCGCAGAUAUCAGGAGGAACACCAAUAGCGAAGGCAGCUCGCUGGGACGUUACUGACACUGAGGCGCGAAAGCGUGGGGAGCGAACAGG
rnacentral:rRNA from 1 species